ensembl:lncRNA
ACGACAGGAGAAAGGGAAAUGAAAAGAAAACGACCCACCCCCCUUUCGUUUUUCCCCAAAGAUGGAUGAUUUAAAGACAUCACGUGAAGCCUAGACCUGUUUUGAAUCCUGAUGAAUUUCCUCCUCGUCGUCAGACGGCGCCUGACCAUUCUCUAUUUUAACGCAAUGCGGAAUCUCACACCCACGUGUACCAGUAGACCCCUUGUCCUUGGAUUACCGACUAAUCCUGGCUCGGAUGGUGAAAAUGAGAGCUGCUUGUCCGGGCACUCCAGGCUAUCUCAUCCUCUCAAUGGUCAUUUCAAUUCCACAAGGUCUUUUGGAACACAGGCUCCUGGCUCCUCCUUUUUCUUGGCUCUGGCACGUCACUGGCUGUGACCGCGGCGACCGUACCUCCAGGAGGAAUCCCAGUGUCCUCUCUGUUGUACCGAGCCUGUGGGGUUCGUUAGUGCUGGUGUGCACUCGCCUGGUUGGGCUGCAUUAUGGGAACAAGAACAGCUUUCACUUCUGGUGGAUCAUGCACUGUAAUGUUCCAGGGGUGCUUGAUGCUUUUGUUUUUAUUCAUUUAUGAGAACAUUUAAUUGUUUCAUUAGAGGCUGUAUUUGUUUAUGUUAAGGUUAAGGUGUAGUUAGAGGCUACUGAGACAGGGGAUCCCCAUAGCUGCUUAACAAAUAGCCUCAUAUGAAAUUCGAAUGAGCAGUCUGUGGCGGACUACAAUAGAAUUUAUGAAAAACUGACGGUAGAGAAUAGAACACAAUAUGUUCUACAAAAUGGACAAUAGAUCAGAAACAGCAGGGCACCUGAACAUGUCAGCACUAGAAUAUGGAGGGGCCUUAGUUGAUGUUUGUGUCAGUGAAUCAGCUUCUAGAAAAACACUGGAACAGCUGCCAAAUUCUACACUGCUAGAUCUAACGCUGCUCUCACUCUCAUGAAUAUUGCAGCAUUGCAGUAUUAUAAAGCAUUCAGUCUGAGGCUGAGCUAGCAUUACCGUAACAGCACUCAGCACAGUA